rnacentral:rRNA from 1 species
UACGUAUGGGGCAAGCGUUAUCCGGAUUUACUGGGUGUAAAGGGAGCGUAGGCGGCCUGGCAAGCCUGAUGUGGAAUACCGGGGCCCAACCCCGGGGCUGCAUUGGGAACUGCCAGGCUGGAGUGCCGGAGAGGCAGGCGGAAUUCCUAGUGUAGCGGUGAAAUGCGUAGAUAUUAGGAGGAACACCAGUGGCGAAGGCGGCCUGCUGGACGGUGACUGACGCUGAGGCUCGAAAGCGUGGGGAGCAAACAGG